rnacentral:rRNA from 1 species
AUUGAACGCUGGCGGCAGGCCUAACACAUGCAAGUCGAACGAGUGGCGGACGGGUGAGUAAUGUCUGGGAAACUGCCUGAUGGAGGGGGAUAACUACUGGAAACGGUAGCUAAUACCGCAUACCAUCGGAUGUGCCAAGAUGGGAUUAGCUAGUAGGGGGGGUAAAGGCUCACCUAGGCGACGAUCCCUAGCUGGUCUGAGAGGAUGACCAGACACACUGGAACUGAGAAACGGGUCAGACUCGUACGUGAGGCAGGAGGGGGGAAUAUGGCACAAUGGGCGGAAGGCUGAUGCAGCCAGGCCGCGUGGAUGAAGAAGGCCGUCGGGGUGUAAAGUACUUUCAGCGGAGAGGCGUUACCCGCAGAAGAAGCACCGGCUAACUCCGUGCCAGCAGCCGCGGUAAAC